GAUGAAGAACGCAGCGAAAUGCGAUAGCUAGUGUGAAUUGCAGAUUUCAGUGAAUCAUCGAAUCUUUGAACGCACAUUGCGCCCCCUGGUAUUCCGGGGGGCAUGCCUGUUCGAGCGUCAUUUCACCACUCAAGCCUCGCUUGGUAUUGGGCAACGCGGUCCGCCGCGUGCCUCAAAUCGACCGGCUGGGUCUUCUGUCCCCUAAGCGUUGUGGAAACUAUUCGCUAAAGGGUGUUCGGGAGGCUACGCCGUAAAACAACCCCAUUUCUAAGGUUGACCUCGGAUCAGGUAGGGAUACCCGCUGAACUUAAGCAUAUCAAUAAGCGGAGGA
rnacentral:misc_RNA from 1 species